rnacentral:lncRNA from 1 species
UCUUCCUUUCUCUCUCUCAAUUCCUUUAAUCUUCUUUCUCUUUCUACGCUCUCUCACACAGUGACUAUUAUCUCUACCUCCAUUUUUUUUUUCUAUUGUCACUAUAUCACGGUGGAGAGUGCUGCCACGCACAGCAGCGAUGAAUGUGGAUUUUUGUUUUGUUUUUCGAACUGAUUCUAUAAUAUCUAAAAAGAUUUGAUGGUUCGGUAUCUUUACGACGACAUUUCGAUACUUUUUUCGAAGUUGAAUAUGUAGUUGUAGUGGAUUUUUUAUUAUUAUUAUUUUUUAUUAUUAUUUAUUAUUAUUUUUUUUUAUUUUUUGUGGGUUCAAAGGUGAGGGCGGCAUCAUUGCUGGAGGAAUUGAUUGGUAUCAACCUAUGGAGAUUUGGUGAUUUGAGCAUGAAAUUGAACCACUUUUUAAAAUUUUAAGGGUGGGUGUGAAUUUAGAGUUUAAAAGGUAACUUUUUCUGAGUAAUGGAGGGAUGAAGAUGUGAAGUGCAGCCAUGGCAAUGGAUUCUACUGGACAGUUUUCAAUUCCUCAUUCUUCUUCUUGCUAGUUGAUUUUUAGGAAUUUUGUUUGAGGUUUUUGUUGCUACUGUUGUGGGCAUUGGAUGAGUUUGGA